GACGAACGCUGGCGGCGUGCUUAACACAUGCAAGUCGAACGGAAAGGCCCUGCUUGCAGGGUACUCGAGUGGCGAACGGGUGAGUAACACGUGGGUGAUCUGCCCUGCACUUCGGGAUAAGCCUGGUAAACUGGGUCUAAUACCGGAUAGGAGCCAUUUUUAGUGUGAUGGUUGGAAAGUUUUUUCGGUGUAGGAUGAGCUCGCGGCCUAUCAGCUUGUUGGUGGGGUAAUGGCCUACCAAGGCGGCGACGGGUAGCCGGCCUGAGAGGGUGGACGGCCACAUUGGGACUGAGAUACGGCCCAGACUCCUACGGGAGGCAGCAGUGGGGAAUAUUGCACAGUGGGCGCAAGCCUGAUGCAGCGACGCCGCGUGGGGGAUGACGGCCUUCGGGUUGUAAACUCCUUUCGCUAGGGACGAAGCUUUUUGUGACGGUACCUAGAUAAGAAGCACCGGCUAACUACGUG
rnacentral:rRNA from 1 species